GCCUGGGUGGCUUGGUCGGUUAAGCGUCCGACUUCGGCUCAGGUCAUGAUCUCACGGUCCGUGGGUUCAAUCCCCGCGUCGGGCU
rfam:Felis catus isolate Cinnamon breed Abyssinian chromosome D2, whole genome shotgun sequence.